GGAGGGAGCUUGCUCCUGAGUCAGCGGCGGACGGGUGAGUAACACGUGGGCAACCUGCCUGUAAGACUGGGAUAACUCCGGGAAACCGGGGCUAAUACCGGAUAACUCUUUUCCUCACAUGAGGAAAAGCUGAAAGAUGGUUUCGGCUAUCACUUACAGAUGGGCCCGCGGCGCAUUAGCUAGUUGGUGAGGUAACGGCUCACCAAGGCCACGAUGCGUAGCCGACCUGAGAGGGUGAUCGGCCACACUGGGACUGAGACACGGCCCAGACUCCUACGGGAGGCAGCAGUGGUCAUAGCNUGUUUCCUGA
rnacentral:rRNA from 1 species